CUGCCCUCGCUGCUUCAUCUACGUCAUGCUCCCCCAGGACGACCCUCGGUGCCCCCAGUGCAAGAGCCCCGUGCUCCUUGACUUCCUGCAGGACAGUGGCAACAAUAACAACAACACCAACAGCAACAGCAGGAAGAGCAGGAGGGGGUGAAAGAAGAGGAGGAGAGGCUCCAUUCGGCUGCACCGACAUCAAGAAAAGCGUUUAUAUGAAGUCCUAGGUCCAGUAGUUCUCUUUCGUUUGAUCAUUUCUUCAGUGUAACCAUGAUAUGUCAGUAUUAAAAUUGUGAGACUGGCAUAUAUCCAUGUGCUGGUGUCACGAUUUUGACACAUCAUGGAUACACUGGGGACUAUAUCCCCUCUCAUGUGUUCUUCUUCGGUGGUUCUAAAUGGAGUAGUUUGUUAGGCAUAGGACCAGACUUCUUCUCUUCUGUUUCUUACUUUCAAGACAAGAAAAGAUUACCCCUGAAAAUCUCAAGUUGGGCCGGAUGAGUAUUAUUCUGAAACAUCUAUGAUAGACAGGCAUCUGCGACUUCACACCAUGAACACCCAUCUGUUCAUUCCUUUGUGUUCAGACAAGGUAUGCAAAUCCACCAUACAAAGUGGAGAAAGUGCAAGAACAGUCAACCCCAGAAGUGGAGUGUUAGGAAUUUGUCACCACAGAUUAGUUGAACUAACCAAUUGGCACUACAACUCCCACGCCUCAACAUAAUGAGGACUCUACCUACUAUCCUUGAAAAAGACAUCAUGUAAUUAAAAAGGUGAUGAAAUUUCAAAUUGGAGAGAUAUAGUAUUUGAAACAAUCAAACAGUCUACGGUGUGACGCCAUGCAAUGAAUACCGAUUGAUUUCAGCAUCCAUCACUCUAUCUCUUGCCAUUAUACUUCCAUCUGAAUACGUGCAUUGUGACGCAGCACGCCAGCAACCUAAUUUAAUGCCCGCUUUGGUCAACUUUGCAAGCCGAUUGAUUUAUGUUUACUCAAUAAAGACAUCUCAGUUUGAGUCCACAUCAUCAUAAUCAGAUACGGAGACCAGCCAUGCUACUUGUUGGCUUGAAUCACAUCAGAAAAGGAAAAAAAACAGACAGGAAAUUAAAAAGCAUGUGCUUUGUUAAGUGUACCUUAAUUGUCCUGAUUGGAACGGUAAGCAUGUCACUUUCAUUUCAUCUUUCAAAGAAAAGACCUGUGUCCUCGUGUAGUUCAACGACAAGGCAGCAGAAAAGGAAAUGACCCCAUUACUUCCAAAGGAAAGUAAAUGACACACAACAUGGGAAAGAAAGGAAGAUAAAUAAAUACUCAGGCCAAAUUUUGGUAUGAUAUGUGAGGCUGCUAUAAUUGAUUGAUGUGUGAGAUUUUCUGUUCUUUCCUUGUCCUGGAUAACUACAAACACGUGAUCCAAACAUAGUUGGCAUUUCCUGCAACAUAAUCAAACACUUUCAGUAAAUGAAAUUGGAAGAUUGUAGAACAACUUAGUCGGACAGGAAUUUGGUGAACAUGGUUCCACGCGCACCCCUUAUGAGUAGUAAAUUCGAAAAAAUACUAUAAAAGAUUAAAAAAACUGAAAAAAAAAUAGUCGACCAAGUUGGAUAUCCCAAAAUUUCAGAUUUUUUUGAAAUUUUCUAGUAUAUUUUUUGGAUUUACUAUUCGUAUGGCUGCACGUGGAAUCAUG
rnacentral:lncRNA from 1 species